UACAGAGGUCUCAAGCGUUGUUCGGAUUCAUUGGGCGUAAAGGGUGUGUAGGUGGCGCCGUAAGUCGGGUGUGAAAUCUCGGGGCUUAACUCCGAAACUGCAUUCGAUACUGCGGUGCUUGAGGACUGGAGAGGAGACUGGAAUUCAUGGUGUAGCAGUGAAAUGCGUAGAUAUCGUGAGGAAGACCAGUGGCGAAGGCGGAUCUCUGGACAGCUUCUGACGCUGAGGCGCGAAGGCCAGGGGAGCAAACGGG
rnacentral:rRNA from 1 species